GAGGCAGAGACAAAGAGAAGGGGACAGGAGAGGUGUCAAGAAUAUUGCCAAGGUUUGCUGCUUAAGCAACUGGAAGGCGGACUAAGAGUUUUAUCUGAACUCCUGCCCCAAACAUCUUAAUUCCCUAAAAUCACUGGAACGGCACAACAGUCCUGAACUGUCCAGACAGCUGCAUGGAGCUGUCAUCCACCCUUCCCUGGAGAGUGUCUAAUCUCCUGCCUAAACUUGUGCCCUGAUCACGCCCCCCUGAAUCUGUGCACAGGGGACUUAGUCCGGCUCUCUGCUCAGAACAAUGUGCGGCCACAACCUGCUUGCCGUCCCUGCCAGGAGCAGCAAUGUGUUCUCCACUCUCCUCUGACGAGGCUUUUGGCAGCCUGAGCUGUCUUUCUGGCUCUCACUGUGGAGCCCACACCCAGGGCUCUAAGAGGCUGGCCUGAUUGUUAUUCUGGAACACUGAGGUCAUUCAGAAGCCCCCUGCAGCUCUGUUAGCCCAAGUGGGCCGGCCAACCAUAUUCUGUCUGGCCCCCAGGCCAGGCCAUGGAUUUAUUUUGGAUCAGAAAUGCUGGUCUCAGAAGACUCCAGGGAGACUCGGAGUACAGGGAUUUGCUGGGUGCCAGGGCAGGUGGCAUUCCAAGCUGGUGGGACCCAGUCGGACUGGUUGGUGAAUCUACGUAUAGGAAAUGGAAACACAGAGGCUGCACCUUUGGAAGUGUGACUGGAAGACUUAACUGGGAAUUCAUAAGUUACAUAUUUAGUUCCACUCACUGAACUCAGCAUAUGAUCAAUGACAUUGAUUUUGUGGUGCUGGGGAUUGAACCCAGAGCUUUAUGCAUGCUAAACAAGUAGUCUAUGACUAAGGUAUAUCCCUGGGCUCUAUAUGCAUCCAUUAUUAGUCAAUAAAUAAACAAUAACAAUAUUAGCAGUCAAUGAAUUUGUCACCACCAGUAUGAACUAUUAAUAUUUUUAUGUCAUCUCACAGUGUUGCAG
ensembl:lncRNA